rnacentral:rRNA from 1 species
GUUGUGUGUUGUAAGGGCGCAUGGUGGAUGCCUUGGCAUGCUAAGCCGAUGAAGGACGUGGAAGGCUGCGUUAUGCCUCGGGGAGUUGUCAAUCGAGCGUUGAUCCGAGGAUGUCCGAAUGGGGAAACCCGGCUGUGGUUAUUCGCAGUCACCUGCUGGUGAAUAUAUAGCCAGUAUGGGGUUACGCGGGGAAGUGAAACAUCUCAGUACCCGUAGGAGAAGGAAACAAUAUGUGAUUUCGUGAGUAGCGGCGAGCGAAAGCGAAUGGUGGCUAAACCGUAUGUGUGUGAUACUUGGUAGAGGUUGCAUGUGCGGGGUUGUUGGGAGCGAUUGUAUGACUACUACCAUGGUUGUGCCAGUGUGCGCGUGUUAGGUGAAGUGGUUUGGAAUGGCCCACCGGAGUGGGUGAGAGUCCUGUAGCUGAAGGCAUGUGUGUGUUGGUUGAUUGUUUCCCGAGUAGCGGCGGGCUCGUGGAAUCUGCCGUGAAUCUGCCGGGACCACCCGGUAAGCCUAAAUACUUAGUGUGACCGAUAGCGGAUAGUACCGUGAGGGAAUGGUGAAAAGUACCCCGGGAGGGGAGUGAAAUAGUUCCUGAAACCAUGUGCUUACAAUCCGUCAGAGCACCUUUUGUUGUGUGAUGGCGUGCCUUUUGAAGAAUGAGCCUGCGAGUCAGCGGCAUGUCGCGAGGUUAACCCGUGUGGGGUAGUCGUAGCGAAAGCGAAUCCUAAUUGGGUGUUGUUAGUGGCAUGUCCUGGACCCGAAGCGGGGUGAUCUACCCAUGGCCAGUGUGAAGCAGCUGUAAGAGGUUGUGGAGGCGCGAACCCACGUAGGUUGAAAACUGCGGGGAUGAGCUGUGGGUAGGGGUGAAAGGCCAAUCAAACUCCGUGAUAGCUGGUUCUCCCCGAAAUGCAUUUAGGUGCAGCGUCGUAGUUGAGCUUUGUGGAGGUAGAGCUACUGUUUGGUUGAGCGGGACUAUCAUCUUAGCAACAUCAGACAAACUCCGAAUGCCAUGUAAGUGUUCUACGGCAGUGAGACUGUGGGGGAUAAGCUUCAUAGUCGAGAGGGAAACAGCCCAGAUCGCCGGCUAAGGCCCCUAAGGGUGUACUAAGUGGAAAAGGAUGUGGGAUCGCGAUGACAGCCAGGAGGUUGGCUUAGAAGCAGCCAUCCUUGAAAGAGUGCGUAAUAGCUCACUGGUCGAGUGGUUCUGCGCCGAUAAUGUAGUGGGGCUCAAGUACACCGCCGAAGCCGCGGCAACCAUCUUUGAGGAUGGUUGGGUAGGGGAGCGUCGUGCAUGAGGUGAAGCAUGAGUGUGAACACGUGUGGAUUGUGUGCGAGUGAGAAUGCAGGCAUGAGUAACGAAUUGUAAGGUGAGAAUCCUUACCGCCGGAUGACUAAGGGUUCCUGGGUCAAGUUCGUCUUCCCAGGGUGAGUCGGGACCUAAGGCGAGGCCGACAGGCGUAGUCGAUGGAUAACCAGUUGAUAUUCUGGUACCCGAGUGUGUGCGUCAAUGGUAAAGCAGUGAUACUAACCAUGUUCGAGACUUAUUGAUUAUGCCCUUUUUGGGUAUGUUGAUAGGUUGAGUUUGUGGGGCCUGAUCUGUGGUCCAAGUGAUGGGGUGACGCAGUAGGGCAGCCACGCCGCUUAGUGGAUUGUUGGUGUAAGCGUUGAGGUUGGUGCCAUUGGUAAAUCCGGGUGCUGUAUCCAAGGCGUGAUGCAUAGCCCUUUUUUGGGUGAAUGUGGUGUGCUUGUGCUGUCGAGAAAAGCCUCUAGCGAGUGCAUAUUCGGCCCGUACCCUAAACCGACACAGGUAGUCAGGUUGAGAAUACUAAGGCGUUCGGGUGAACUGUGGUUAAGGAACUCGGCAAAAUGUCCCCGUAACUUCGGGAGAAGGGGAGCCUCACUGGUUGUAUAGGCUGGUGGGGCCGCAGAGAAUAGAGGGGUCCGACUGUUUAUCAAAAACACAGGUCCAUGCGAAAACGUGAAGUUGAUGUAUAUGGACUGACGCCUGCCCGGUGCUGGAAGGUUAAGAGGACCUGUUAGACCUUUUGUGGUCGAAGCGGAGAAUUUAAGCCCCAGUAAACGGCGGUGGUAACUAUAACCAUCCUAAGGUAGCGAAAUUCCUUGUCGGGUAAGUUCCGACCUGCACGAAUGGCGUAACGAGACCCCUGCUGUCUCAACCACAGGCCCGGUGAAAUUGCAGUACGAGUAAAGAUGCUCGUUACGCGCGGCAGGACGAAAAGACCCCGGGACCUUCACUAUAGCUUGGUAUUGGUGUUCGGUUUGGCUUGUGUAGGAUAGGUGGGAGACUGUGAAGUAUGCACGCUAGUGUCUGUGGAGUCGUUGUUGAAAUACCACUCUGGCUUGAUCGGAUACCUGAACCUUGGCCCAUGAUCUGGGUUGGGGACAGUGCCUGGUGGGUAGUUUAACUGGGGCGGUUGCCUCCUAAAGAGUAACGGAGGCGCCCAAAGGUUUCCUCAGCCUGGUUGGCAAUCAGGUUUUGAGUGUAAGUGCACAAGGAAGCUUGACUGUGAGAGUGACUGCUCGAGCAGGGACGAAAGUCGGGACUAGUGAUCCGGCACCUACUUGUGGAUGUGGUGUCGCUCAACGGAUAAAAGGUACCCCGGGGAUAACAGGCUGAUCUUCCCCAAGAGUCCAUAUCGACGGGAUGGUUUGGCACCUCGAUGUCGGCUCGUCGCAUCCUGGGGCUGGAGUAGGUCCCAAGGGUUGGGCUGUUCGCCCAUUAAAGCGGCACGCGAGCUGGGUUCAGAACGUCGUGAGACAGUUCGGUCUCUAUCCGCCGCGCGCGUAGAAACUUGAAAAAGGCUGUCCCUAGUACGAGAGGACCGGGAUGGAUACACCUCUAGUGUGCCAGUUGUCACGCCCGUGGCAUGGCUGGUUGGCUACGUGUAGAAGGGAUAACCGCUGAAAGCAUCUAAGCGGGAAGCCUGUUUUGAGAUGAGGUUUCGUUAUUGAGGCGCCCUAGAGAUUAUGGGGUUGAUAGGCUAGAUCUGGAAGCGUUGUAAGGCGUGGAGGUGACUGGUACUAAUUCGCCGAACUACUACAACAC